GUCUCAAUCCAACAAACAAAGUUGCAUCUAGAUAAAGGUUCAAGAACAUAAAAAGAUCCAAGAAAACACUAAAACUGUCAUCCAUCUAAUUCCAGAACAAAACUGAGGAAAAAAGUAUCUCAAGGUAACAAUUAAUAGCCCCAAAAUCUCUAAACCACAUGAUAAUAACAAAAAAAAGAAAAAAAAACAAGAAAAGAAAAGACCCAACACGCCUCUAAAACAGUAAGGUAGUGUUUGGUAUGCAGGAAUGAGAGACUUUCACACAUACAAGGGCACACAUGGAAAAACAAAAGAAAUGUACACUUCUAAGAAUACAUAGAACUCCAUUAUUCUAGUAUGUUUUUGCCAAGUGUUGAAAAGAUGAUGACAGGUCAGAAAGGUGAGCUCACUUGCCACCUAAAGUAGGGAAGUGGCUCGGAUCUUCAAUUUUUGGGGCUUCAGGCGCAUAGCUUGAUGAACCACCUUGGUUGUACCGUCCACCACCUCUUGGACCACCACGUCCACGCCCACGCCCACCUGAAGUGUAACUCUUUUCACCAGCAGCAGGUUUCAGGAACUCAUUGAUGCUAAG
rnacentral:lncRNA from 1 species